rnacentral:rRNA from 1 species
GGACUACCAGGGUUUCUAAUCCUGUUCGCUCCCCACGCUUUCGCUCCUCAGCGUCAGUACAGGCCCAGAGAACCGCCUUCGCCACCGGUGUUCCUCCCGAUAUCUGCGCAUUUCACCGCUACACCGGGAAUUCCGUUCUCCCCUACCUGCCUCUAGUCUGCCCGUAUCCACCGCAGACCCGGAGUUAAGCCCCGGGCUUUCACGGCAGACGCGACAAACCGCCUACGAGCUCUUUACGCCCAAUAAUUCCGGACAACGCUUGCGCCCUACGUAUUACCGCGGCUGCUGGCAC